GGGCGGGCAAUCUUUAACCAAAUGGAGUACGUUUAUGGGAUUGUGCCAGGGGUAAAACAUUACGCUUGCUUAGUUGAUAUACUUGGCCGUGCAGGUGAACUGGAAGUAGCUGAAAAACUGAUAAAUAAUAUGCCAGUAACCCCUGGUCCAUCAGUUUGGGGUGCUCUGCUUGGGGCAUGUAGAUUACACGGCAAUCUUGAACUAGCUGAACAAGCUUGUAACCGUUUAGUUGAGUUGGAACCUG
rnacentral:misc_RNA from 1 species